rnacentral:rRNA from 1 species
UACAGAGGUGGCAAGCGUUGUUCGGAAUUACUGGGCGUAAAGGGCGAGUAGGUGGCCAUCUAAGUCAGACGUGAAAUCCCCCGGCUUAACCUGGGAACUGCGUCUGAUACUGGACGGCUUGAGUAUGGGAGAGGAACGUAGAAUUCCAGGUGUAGCGGUGAAAUGCGUAGAUAUCUGGAGGAACACCGGUGGCGAAGGCGACAUCCUGGACCGGUAUUGACGCUGAGGCGCGAAAGCCAGGGGAGCAAACGGG